rnacentral:rRNA from 1 species
GUUAGUGCCUUCGGGAAACCUGACACAGGUGCUGCAUGGCUUGUCGCUGUGUAGAAAUGUUGGGUUAAGUCCCGCAACGAGCGCAACCCUUAUCCUUUUGUUGCCAGCGAUUUCGGUCGGGAACUCUAAAGGAGACUUCCGGUGAUAAACCGGAGGAAAGGUGGGGAUUGACGUCAAGUCAUCAUGCCCCUUACUGUAGUAGGGCUACACACGUGCUGCUACAAUGGCGCAUACAAAGAGAAGCGACCUCGGGAGAGAGCGGAACCUCAUAAAAGUGCGUCGUAUCCGGAUCGGAUCUGCACUCGACUCCGUAAGUCGGAAUCGCUAGUAAUCGUGGAUCA